rnacentral:rRNA from 1 species
UACGUAGGGGGCAAGCGUUGUCCGGAUUUAUUGGGCGUAAAGAGCGUGUAGGCGGCCAGGUAGGUCAGCUGUGAAAACUCGAGGCUCAACCUCGAGACGUCGGUUGAAACCACCUGGCUAGAGUCCGGAAGAGGAGAGUGGAAUUCCUGGUGUAGCGGUGAAAUGCGCAGAUAUCAGGAAGAACACCCGUGGCGAAGGCGGCUCUCUGGGACGGUACUGACGCUGAGACACGAAGGCCAGGGGAGCAAACAGG